rnacentral:misc_RNA from 1 species
UUUUUUGAAAUGAUGCUUUUAUGAGAUAGAGCUUUUUUAGAUAAUGCUUUUUUAGAUAAUGCUGGGGAAGGUUUUCCGGUUUAUCUCGGAGGGCUUGUAGCUCAGUUGGUUAGAGCGCGCGCUUGAUAAGCGUGAGGUCGGAGGUUCAAGUCCUCCCAGGCCCACCAAUUUACCUAUCCAUUUGCCUUUAUCCGUUUAUUUGCCGAUUUAUCGGUCUAUUGAAUUUAAGUGUUGGUAGCAGUUUUUAUAAUGAUGAGAAAUCAUGCUUAUAAAAGAACUCCUUAUAAAAGGCUUGUUUUUAAAAUGUGACGCUUAUCCAUUUCGCUUAGGCAAGAGAAACUUCAAGCGGUUCAAAUGCAAAAGGCUUUAAAUUUUGCAAAACACUUUGAAUUUUAAAGUGAUCCAAGUUCGUGAUCUCGAAUUUAAAAGUUUCGAAUGCUUUAUCCUUUUUUGGGGG